AUUGAACGCUGGCGGCAUGCCUUACACAUGCAAGUCGAACGGCAGCACGGGUGCUUGCCCCUGGUGGCGAGUGGCGAACGGGUGAGUAAUACAUCGGAACAUGUCCUGUAGUGGGGGGUAGCCCGGCGAAAGCCGGAUUAAUACCGCAUACGAUCUACGGAUGAAAGCGGGGGACCUUCGGGCCUCGCGCUAUAGGGUUGGCCGAUGGCUGAUUAGCUAGUUGGUGGGGUAAAGGCCUACCAAGGCGACGAUCAGUAGCUGGUCUGAGAGGACGACCAGCCACACUGGGACUGAGACACGGCCCAGACUCCUACGGGAGGCAGCAGUGGGGAAUUUUGGACAAUGGGCGAAAGCCUGAUCCAGCAAUGCCGCGUGUGUGAAGAAGGCCUUCGGGUUGUAAAGCACUUUUGUCCGGAAAGAAAUCCUUGGCCCUAAUACGGUCGGGGGAUGACGGUACCGGAAGAAUAAGCACCGGCUAACUACGUG
rnacentral:rRNA from 1 species